AGUUCAGCCAGCAGAGUGAGCUGGUGAAGAUGUCUGGUUAUUUCUCCAAGCAGAAGUGGCAAAGAUUGGUCAUGAGAAGGCUGAUUCACUGCAAACAGUACAGGCCAGACCUCAAUCCAGCAAAGGCAGAGAUGUAAUGAACUCCAUGUGUGUGUCACCACAUCACUUUCCAGAUGAUCUCAAGUUUUCUUUGGAGUAUCUUGGAGCAUCUCAGUUAUUUAGUCUUUGUCUGACACCCUAAAACUCAUCUUUCAAAGAUGAUUGGUCAAAUUUGUCACCACGUGGCAGCAAUGGAUGAGAGUGUAAACUCAAAUGAGA